UGUUAGAGAAAGAACGCGUAGAUUUUGCCCUACUUUCGCUUUCACUUUCGCUGCCCUACUUUCGCUUUCUCGUUCACACGAUACUCUUGCUCCUCCCAUCGCAUCUCCGAUCUGCAAGCCGGCCACUGCCUCCGCCAACGACGUCACCUCCGACAUCACCUCCGCCGUCACCCCCGGCAGCAAAGCCCUCCAGCUACUCCAAAGUCGUCGACGCAUCAUACCUUCUCCCUCCCACUGCCGGUCCAACCUGCAACCCACCUCUGUGAACGACGACCAGCAUCUUUGUCAGAAGGUUCUACCCCUUCAAAUUUACCCUUCUUUAAAGUUAUUGCCUUCGCCAGGUGUCUCAACCGCAUUUUUAUUCUCUAUAUCUAGUGCAGAAUCAAUUAGAUCUGAACUCCCUCAUUUUCAGAUCUUUGGGUGUCCCUUAUCUGUGCAGAAUCAAUAGGGUCAUAAAAGGGCUUGUUAAACUUCUUGGCGACUGAAAAUGGGUUCAACAGUGACAGGGUCACAAAGGCAAG